AAAUAUAGACGGCAAAGCCUGGGAAACCAUGUGACGCAAAGCUAAAGGACCUGUAAAAUGGUAGCCAGUUGUACGA
rnacentral:ncRNA from 1 species